AAGUCGUAACAAGGUUUCCGUAGGUGAACCUGCGGAAGGAUCAUUAACACGUAUCCAAACGUUUAAAACAAAAAGAAAACCUAUAACCAAGCCUGCUCCGUAAAGUCCCCUGCGUACGUGAAAGUGGUAUUGGGGUGUAUGUACUGGAGAAACCCUUCUGGAUGAUGGACGGCCACCACGGCCGGUCGCUGCUGCUUGUGGGCGUUCGUGCCCCCCAGGAUUACCCCGCUACCAGUCGAAACGACCAACCUGCGCAACCAUUACGUGUUGAGCCCGUGGGCGUCGUAAACCGAAAUACUUGAACAACUGUUAACAAUGGAUAUCUUGGUUCUC
rnacentral:misc_RNA from 1 species